GGCUCAGGAUGAACGCUAGCGGCAGGCUUAAUACAUGCAAGUCGAGGGCAGCAUGGUGUAGCAAUACACUGAUGGCGACCGGCAAACGGGUGCGGAACACGUACAGAACCUUCCUUCGAGCGGGGAAUAGCCCAGAGAAAUUUGGAUUAAUACCCCAUAGUAUAGCGGAGAGGCAUCUCUCUGUUAUUAAAGAUUUAUCACUUGAAGAUGGCUGUGCGGCUGAUUAGGUAGUUGGCGGGUAACGGCCACCAAGCCUGCGAUCAGUAACUGGUGUGAGAGCACGACCAGUCACACGGGCACUGAGACACGGGCCCGACUCCUACGGGAGGCAGCAGUAAGGAAUAUUGGUCAAUGGACGAAAGUCUGAACCAGCCAUGCCGCGUGGAGGAUGAAGGUCCUCUGGAUUGUAAACUUCUUUUAUAUGGGACGAAAAAAGGUCUUUCUAGAUCGUCUGACGGUACCAUAUGAAUAAGCACCGGCUAACUCCGUG
rnacentral:rRNA from 1 species